rnacentral:rRNA from 1 species
UACAGAGGGUGCAAGCGUUAAUCGGAGUUACUGGGCGUAAAGGGCGCGUAGGCGGUUAUGUAAGUGAGAUGUGAAAUCCCUGGGCUUAACCUAGGAACUGCAUCUCAUACUGCAUGACUGGAGUAUUGUAGAGGGUAGUGGAAUUUCCGGUGUAGCGGUGAAAUGCGUAGAGAUCGGAAGGAACACCAGUGGCGAAGGCGGCUACCUGGACAAAUACUGACGCUGAGGCGCGAGAGCGUGGGGAGCAAACAGG